UUGGGUUGAAUUUUGGUGGAAUUUUGGGUUGAUUUUGGGUUGAUUUCGACUGAAUUGGCUCAAUUUUGGGUUGAAUUUUGGUGGAAUUUUGGAAUUUUGGGUUGAUUUUGGCUCGAUUUUGGGUUGAAUUUUGGUGGAAUUUUGGGUUGAUUUCGACUGAAUUGGCUCGAUUUUGGGCUGGGAAUUUCGACUGAAUUGGCUCGAUUUUGGGUUGAAUUUCAUUAUCGGGUAAUUUAGGGUACCCGAAUACCCGACUCGGGUACCCGAGUCGGGUAUUAGGGUACCCGAUUUCAAUUUCGGGUUCGGGUUCGGGUAGCAAAUUUAGGGUAUUUUCGGGUUCGGGUACCCGAUUUUUUCGGGUAGGGUACCCGAACCCGACCCGAUUCCCAGCCCUA
rnacentral:lncRNA from 1 species